GCUGCUUGUGUGUUCAAACCCGAUUGUGGAACAACAGAGGUAGUGGACCAUGUACAUAGUUAUCUAAACACGAUGUUUUUACAGUUUGAUGUACAGUGCUCAUUUUCAGCAUCGGAACUUGUUAGCAUGUACACAAACAGCGCAAGAAUAAACAUCCCUCUUCUGUCAACGUUGAUGUGCCUUUUCUUUGUUAUAGCGAUGUUUAACCUCUGGUUCAUAUAACAUUAUAUAUCUUUUACUAGCAUACUAGCAUGUAAAAAUAGUGACAAUAUAUAAUAAUUGGCAAACUUGGCGAAUAGUAUUGGAAUAUUCCAUAGAUUUUAUUCUCGUAAAUUAAACUAUUUAGCCUAUAUUAUUUAAAUAAAAAUAAUUAAAAACAGCAAACUGGUUGCAAAUAG